UCUCAAAAUCACAUGAUUAAAUCUGUCAGGCAGAUACAUUCCUGCUCCUUAGGGGUUCAUUUCAGGUGGAAACCAGGGGAUGGUGUUUGCACUGGAAUAAGCUGUUUCCCACUUGAGUGGCAAUGCAGUGAUCGGGGACCCAGAAAUAACAUACAUAGCAUCGAGGCCCAGAGAAGGAAGUCAUCUGCCUACAAGCCAGGGAGCUGGCACCGGGGAGGACUUUCUGCCCUCAGGCCGCUGCAUUCUUGGGCGUUGGUUCUCCUACUGGUCUACUCACUGAGAGGUUCUGGGUAGAGACGCGCAGUGUCUUCCCAGGGGCAAGAACCCUGCUGGUCAAAUGGGAAACAGACUUGCAACCCUGCUGGUCCCAAAAGCCAGUGUGGAUGAGAGUGAGGACACAGUGGCACAGCCAGUCUCCACCCUGGCUGCCUCGUCCCUCCAAACACAGAAAACACAAGUGCCGAUUUGCAGGGGACACACCUGCUGGUCCUUCUCCUCAAGGAUGCAGGCAAGAGAAAGGCGAGGUGAUCAGAAAGAGAAGAAGAAGUUGUAGUACUCUACAGACCACUGAAGGAGCCAAGAGACCAGAUAUUGCUGCCUUUAAGACUAGUUUGAUCUUGGACAGGUGGCUUACAUUCUUCCCAGAGGAAAGAUGGGGUCUGACUUGGAGCUGCCUUGCUCCUGGGUCAGGAGGAGUCUGCAGGGGCACAGGAUUCCAGCAGAGCAACCUGUGCCCAAGAGUAGGGAUGAUUCAGGCCCCUUCCAAGCCUGGGGUGCACCAUCAUCUCCUCAGCUAAUUCUCUCUCCCUUGUUCAGUUCUUAAAAGCAAAUAGGAAAGUGGCUUUACCUUGCUUUUAAGUGGAAAUUUAACUGGGUACACAUAGCUUAUUCUGAGAACCAGCUGGAAGCAACAGAAAGCAGCUGAGGGGAAGAAUCUACAGAGGUGUCUAGUGAGUUUGCUUUAUCAUUAAAUAGUACAAAACUCUGUGCUUCUGUCUCCCUCCUUUUUCUGUGAAGUUUGGAACCGACAUUUUAGUAAUUGCAGAAUCUCAACCUCUCU
rnacentral:lncRNA from 1 species